CUCAGCAUCCAUUGAGAUAAUCAUGUGGUUUUUAUCUUUCAGUUUGUUAAUGUGGUGUAUCACAGUGAUUGUUGUGAAUAUUGAAGAAUCCUUGCAUCUGGGAUAAAGCCCACUUGGUCAUGAUGUGUGAUCUUUUUACCGGGUCCCUCUUCUGUGUUUCACAUCUGGGGGAGCCCCUGCUGAGCCUUCCUUAGGUUGUCUCCUGGGCGCCUUCCAGGGCCCUGCUCACGUGGGUCCUGGCCCUGGAACCUGCUGAGGGUCAUGAGGCCAGUAUGUGGGCAGGUAGCUUUUGGGUUCUAGACCCGGCCCGCCCUAACCCUGAAGCUUGUUGUAUUCUCUGUCCCAUACCCUGUUGCCUUCUGAGGAAGUUUGCAGGUCUGAAGAACUAGCUCCACGGCCUAGAGGAAGAGUACUGAAGUUGAAACCCUCUGGGAUCCACCUUCUUCCUCAUCUCCAGUAGUGGUACCUCAUUUUGCCCAAAGAGUCUCUUGGUCCACAGACUUUGUGCAUACAUCUUUGUGCUCAUGGCCUUGUAGGGAAAGUUGUCCGUUUUUUGCUUUGUUUUCAAGAAAUGACGUGGCUUCCUCUUUCCAGUCAUACCCAUAACAAUUUUCAAGGGCUCAUGAAAGUCAUGCAGCUUAGAGAUUUGGCAUCUUGAACCCUGGUGGCUCAGAUGGUAAAGAAUCUGCCUGCAGUGCAAAAGACCAGGCUUCGAUUCCUGGAUGGGGAAGAUCCUCUGGAGAAGGAAAUGGCAACCCACUUCAGUAUUCUUGCCUGGAGAAUUGCAUGGACCGAGGACCCUGGCGGGCUGCAGUCCAUGGGGGUCACAGAGAGUCGGAUACAGCUGAGCACUAACACACACACAUAGGAGGCUCCUAAAUAUGCACAUAACCUUUGUUUUUAAUCACCUAAUAUUCCCUCUGUCCUUCCACCUUGAUACUCUUGAAGAUGAACUCUUUUUCCUUGAAACUUCAAUUGAUUCCGGUUUUGGCUGUUGGAGCCCGAGUGUCCAGACCCACAGAAGAUCUUUUCUGCAGAACCUUUGAAAUAUUUGAGAAUGGUGAGCAGGUCCCUCCUGGCCUCAGGUUCUUCUUUAAGCAUCUGCGCUUUUCCUCACUACCCCCCAGUAGCGUCCACACUUUGCACGGCCGUGGAUCACAGCACACCAGCUCUCAUCUCUGUGACCUGUGCAGGGUACAUGCUGCCCUGCCCUGUCCUGUCCAAGUUCCCACUCAUAGAACUCUCCAGAAUGCCCGGGGUUUUUUGUUCCUUUAGUUCCUUUUUUUUCACCCAGAUCCUUCCCCACUUGUACUUAAGAAAUUAAUAUUUUGAAUGUAAAUGUGACUUUACACGUAUCUUUGAAUUUCAUCUUAGUACUUCUUUCAGUUCCAGUUCUUGCUCUUCAGAUCUUUGGAUGGUAUUUUUUUUUCUCUGCUGAUGCACUGAUGAGUUCUGAGGAUUUGGUAACCCAGACUUGCCUUUUUACCUAAGCUGCUAGUGAAGCUCCAUGGAGAGGGGCCCAGCCGUGAAUAUGUGGCCGUCGCUGUUUGCUGUGUCCUCAUCCUCGUCGGGCUCAGUGACAGAGGAUUAAUAAGGAGAAUCACUCCAGGAGAUGGUGAUGGACAGGGAAGCCUGGUGUGCUGCAGUCCAUGGGGUCGCAAAGAGCUGGACACGACCGAAUGAGAGAACAGAACAACAGUAGGGAAAAUGGGACUGAGUACUGCUGAGACCCUGCCCUGUGCCAUUGCCUCCCUCUGGAGCAGGGGUGGAGGAGUCAGGCAUUUACCUGCCUCCCGCCCCUGGAAGCCCCCGGGGUUGGUGGCAGUGGGACUCUGGAUGGAGCCCAGAUGUCCCCUGUGAUCUGGGGGUGUGGGUGUCUCCCACAGCGUGCACAGGGCCCCUCCUCCCUCUGCCCUCCUAUGGCUAACCCCUUAUUACAUCCAGGUUUGUUCCUGCUUUCCUGGAACCUUCCUUAUUUCUCUCGGCGGAAAGCCGUGGCUCUGUCUCCAAACACCUGCUGUUGGUUCUUCGGGACGUAGGUUACAGCCUGCGCGGUAAUUCUUGUCAUUUUCUUCUCUCUCCAUCAACCAGAAUUGUGACUUAAAUGCGGUUGUUUUCUCUCUCUCCUUUCUUCAAUAAUGGAAUCCAGUAAACAUAAAUAAUAAUAAUAAAAAUGUGUCC